GGUCUUGACAUCCCGGAGACCCUUAGGAAACUAGGGGGUGGCUUUCCAUCUGGAAGAAUCUGGAGACAGGUGCUGCAUGGCUGUCGUCAGCUCGUGUCGUGAGAUGUUGGGUUAAGUCCCGCAACGAGCGCAACCCUUGCCUUUAGUUGCCAGCAGUUCGGCUGGGCACUCUAAAGGGACUGCCGGUGUUAAACCGGAGGAAGGUGGGGAGUGACGUCAAGUCCUCAUGGCCUUUAUGACCAGGGCUACACGCGUACUACAAUGGCCGAUACAAAGGGCAGCGACACUGCGAGGUGAAGCCAAUCCCGUAAAAUCGGUCUCAGUCCGGAUUGGAGUCUGCAACUCGACUCCAUGAAGUUGGAAUCGCUAGUAAUCGUGGAUCAGCAUGCCACGGUGAAUACGUUCCCGGGCCUU
rnacentral:rRNA from 1 species